UCUGCUGCCCUCUGGCUUUGUUUUGUUGCAGCACACCCCUGAGUCUGCAGGAGGAGUUUAUUGACACACCUGCAGACAAUUUACCCGCUGCCGUUUUAAGCUGCAGUCAGCAGACUUCCAAGCGGUGCCAGAUUGUUGCCAGCUCUUCGCCAGCUACCUGCUCCUUCCAGCAACUAGUUUCUCGCUUUGCUGCACUCUGGUCCUUUGAUUGUUUACUCAUGUACCUCAGUAUUCCCUGCCAGGUUUAUUCUCCUGCAGUGCUGCAGCCGCACCACCGUCUUGUGGUCCCACUGGAGCACUUUAAGAGCAAAGUCCACGCCAAUGGUGGCCCGGUAAUGCUGAGAGAAGACCUGGUGGACGUAGCGCUUGAUGAUUGAGGUCUUGCCCACUCCCAAGUCACCGAUGACGAGCACUUUGAGCAGGCGCUGGUGCUGCUGCAUGGCCAACGGGACAAGGGUGUAAUUCAUAGAGGGGAUUGGGGGGCUAUUCUCCACAAUAAACAAAUCAAGACAACAUACCGUACAUCAUAAAAGAGAAUUCUGGCUGUUCUGGGAAAAUGUUAUGCAUUUCCGUUGGAAGUUGCCACCUUAAAAAGAACGGACUGGUACAGCACACUAGACAACAGUGUUGUGCAUAAAUAAGAAGUCAAAAGGAGAGAGAGAGGGAGAGAGAAAACAGAAAUGUAGUUAUCUAUUUAGCCUGCGGUUUAUGUGCAUGGCCACGGCCACGCCCCCUUGGGCUUCCACCUCCUCCCGCCCCUUACAUUGAAACCGAACUGCUUCUACUCUUGUCACAGUGAAAUUGUUCAUGUUAAUGUGUGAAAAGUUCAUUUAAGAUGUGCAUUGUCAUUAUAACUGAGUGUGGUGUUUUGUUUUUUUUUUAUUCCGAACAUUUUUGACUGUGUGUCAAAUGGUGCACUUUUACUACACGCAUUUUGAUUGGUUACACACUGAGAAGUAAGGCAAAAUGCAGUGCACCGCCAGGACCGGAUGUUGCCCUCAACAAGCCCCUUGGUGAGUGUGUAGUGAUGGAACCUUACCACCUUCAGUUAUCCAUUUAUGGUCACAUUGCUACUGUUCUGUAAGAUAUUAUAUAUAUGUUU